rnacentral:rRNA from 1 species
CGGAGAUCCAAGCGUUAUCCGGAUUUAUUGGGUUUAAAGGUGCGUAGGCGGCCUAUUAAGUCAGGGGUGAAAGACGGUAGCUUAACUAUCGCAGUGCCCUUGAUACUGAUGGGCUUGAAUAUACUUGAGGUAGGCGGAAUGUGACAAGUAGCGGUGAAAUGCAUAGAUAUGUCACAGAACACCAAUUGCGAAGGCAGCUUACUAAGGUAUGAUUGACGCUGAGGCACGAAAGCGUGGGGAUCAAACAGGAUUAGAUACCCUGGUAGUCCACGCCCUAAACGAUGAACACUCGAUGUUGGCGAUAUACGGUCAGCGUCAAAGCGAAAGCGUUAAGUGUUCCACCUGGGGAGUACGCCCGCAAGGGUG